GUGGGCUCCACAAUGCCUGAAACUUCAAUUCAAUGUACAGACCAUUUUCCUGCGCUUUCACAAGGCUUGAAAGACUACUGCAAAGGCUUUCACAGCAACUGCUACUCUCGCUAAUUUGCUUUGGUUAUUCGAGAGUUUGAAUUUUGCUGAAAACAUGUUUGUGGCGGAGGCGGCUGUGUCUUCCAUCUUUGAUCUGGUGCUUGAGAAGUUGGUGGCUGCCGCCGCUGCCCCUUUGUCGGAGUAUGCACGCAGGCAGAAUGUUGAGGCCACUCUCCAAGAAUGGAGGAGGAUUUUGUUGCAUAUUGAAGCUGUGCUGACUGAUGCUGAGCAGAAGCAGAUAAGGGAGAGAGCUGUUAAGCUUUGGUUGGAUGAUCUCAAAUCUUUGGUUUACGACAUGGAAGAUGUUCUGGACGAGUUCAACACUGAAGCUAAUCUGCAGAUCGUGAUACCUGGACCCCAAGCUAGCACCAGUAAGGUACACAAGCUCAUCCCAACUUGUUUUGCUGCUUGUCAUCCUACAUCUGUGAAAUUUAAUGCAAAGAUUGGGGAAAAGAUAGAGAAAAUUACAAGGGAGUUGGAUGCUGUUGCAAAACGAAAACAUGACUUUGAUUUAAUGAAGGGUGUUGGAGGGUUGUCGUUUGAGAUGGAAGAAAGGUUACAAACCACUUCCUUGGUAGAUGAGUCUAGCAUUUAUGGUAGGGAUGCUAAGAAGGAGGCUAUCAUUCAAUUUCUCUUAUCCGAGAAAGCCUCCAGGGAUAAUGGUGAUAAUGGAGUUUCUGUAGUUCCCAUCGUAGGUAUGGGUGGGGUUGGUAAAACAACCCUGGCUCAAAUUAUCUACCAUGAUAAGAGGGUGGAGAGCCACUUUGAUACCAGGAUUUGGGUUUGUGUAUCGGAUCGAUUUGAUGUGACAGGGAUAACCAAAGCAAUUCUAGAGUCCGUCACUCAUAGUUCAACUGAUUCUAAGAACUUGGACUCAUUACAAAAUAGCCUGAAGAAUGGAUUGAAUGGGAAAAAAUUCUUCCUCGUUCUAGAUGAUGUGUGGAACGAGAAGCCCCAAAACUGGGAUGCCUUAAAGGCUCCUUUUAGGGCUGGUGCACAAGGCAGUAUGAUCAUAGUAACAACUCGUAAUGAAGAUGUUGCAUCGAUUAUGCGCACUACUGCCUCUUCUCAUCACCUUGAUGUGCUAUCCUAUGAAGAGUGUCGGCUAUUAUUUGCAAAACACGCCUUUGCACAUAUGAAUACAAACAUCCGCCAAAAGUUGGAACCAAUUGGUGAGGAGAUAGUAAAAAAAUGCAGAGGCUUGCCUUUGGCUGCAAAGUCGCUUGGAAGUCUAUUACACACUAAAGAAGAUGAAAAUGCUUGGAAUGAAGUACUGAAUAAUGGCAUAUGGGAUUUUCAAAUUGAACGAAGUGACAUUCUUCCGGCUUUAUACUUGAGUUACCAUUAUCUUCCUACAAAUUUGAAACGAUGUUUUGCAUAUUGCUCCAUAUUCCCCAAGGACUAUAAAUUUGAAAAAAGGAACUUAGUGCUGUUAUGGAUGGCCGAAGGCUUAUUAGGUGGCUCCAAAAGAGAGGAAACUAUAGAAGAUUAUGGUAACAUGUGUUUUGACAAUCUACUUUCAAGAUCUUUCUUCCAACAAGCUAGUGAUGAUGAAUCAAUAUUUUUGAUGCAUGAUUUGAUCCAUGAUUUAGCACAAUUUGUAUCGGGAAAAUUCUGCUCUUCGUUGGAUGAUGAAAAGAAAAGUCAAAUUUCCAAACAGACUCGACAUUCUUCUUAUGUUAGGGCAGAGCAAUUUGAACUCUCCAAGAAAUUUGAUCCAUUUUAUGAAGCUCAUAAUUUGCGGACCUUUCUUCCUGUACAUACAGGUCAUCAAUAUGGUCGUAUCUUUUUAAGCAAGAAGGUCUCAGAUCUUUUAUUGCCAACAUUGAAAUGCUUACGGGUUCUCUCUUUAGCUCAUUAUCAUAUUGUGGAGUUGCCUCACUCAAUUGGAACUUUGAAACACCUACGCUACUUAGAUCUUUCUCGUACUUCAAUUAGAAGGCUCCCUGAAUCAAUAACCAACCUUUUCAACUUGCAGACAUUGAUGUUGUCAAAUUGUGAUUCUCUUACUCAUUUACCCACAGAAAUGGGGAAACUGAUUAACUUGCAGACAUUGAUGUUGUCAAAUUGUAUUUCUCUUACUCAUUUACCCACAGAAAUGGGGAAACUGAUUAACUUGCAGACAUUGAUGUUGUCAAAUUGUAUUUCUCUUACUCAUUUACCCACAGAAAUGGGGAAACUGAUUAACUUGCAACAUCUUGAUAUUACCAACACUAUAUUAAAGGAGAUGCCAAUGGGAAUGAAAGGGUUGAAACGUCUUCGAACAUUGACUGCUUUUGUUGUUGGUGAGGAUAGAGGGGCAAAAAUUAAAGAGUUGAGGGACAUGUCACACCUCGGUGGCAGACUUUGCAUUUCCAAGUUGCAGAAUGUGGUGGAUGCUAUGGAUGUCUUCGAGGCUAAUUUGAAAGGCAAGGAGCGUCUUGAUGAGUUAGUAAUGCAGUGGGAUGGCGAAGCUACUGCUCGUGAUUUGCAGAAGGAAACAACUGUGCUUGAAAAGCUACAACCUCAUAACAAUUUGAAAGAGCUGACCAUCGAGUACUAUUGUGGUGAAAAAUUUCCUAACUGGUUAAGCGAACAUUCAUUUACCAAUAUGGUGUCCAUGCAACUCCACGAUUGUAAAAAUUGUUCAUCCUUGCCAUCGCUAGGGCAACUUGGAUCUCUCAAGGAGCUCUCUAUUAUGAGGAUUGAUGGAGUGCAGAAGGUGGGACAAGAGUUCUAUGGGAAUAUUGGGUCUUCUUCGUUUAAGCCAUUUGAAGCCCUAGAGAUUCUGAGGUUUGAAGAGAUGUUAGAGUGGGAGGAAUGGGUUUGUCGUGAAAUUGAAUUCCCUUGUUUGAAGGAGCUUUAUAUCAAGAAAUGUCCAAAGCUGAAAAAGGAUUUACCGAAACACCUUCCUAAAUUAACAAAACUUGAGAUUAGAGAAUGCAAGCAGCUGGUGUGUUGUCUUCCAAUGGCUCCCUCCAUUCGUAAAUUGGAGUUGGAGAAAUGUGAUGAUGUGGUGGUUAGGAGUGCGGGCAGUCUCACCUCAUUGGCUUCCUUGGAUAUAAGCAAUGUUUGUAAAAUACCAGAUGAAUUAGGACAACUGCAUUCUCUUGUAGAGUUGUAUGUGCUUUUUUGUCCCGAGCUAAAGGAAAUUCCACCCAUUCUUCACAACCUUACCUCUCUUAAAGACUUGAAGGUCGAGAAUUGUGAGAGUCUUGCAUCUUUUCCGGAGAUGGCGCUGCCACCCAUGCUUGAAAGCCUUCAAAUUUUUUCCUGUCCCAUUCUGGAGUCCCUACCAGAGGGAAUGAUAGCCUCCUUCACAAAGCUUGAGACGCUUCAUUUAUGGAAUUGUACAAAUCUGGAGUCCCUUUACAUUCGAGAUGGACUUCACCACAUGGAUCUCACAUCUCUCCAGUCAUUGGACAUAUGGAAUUGCCCUAAUCUGGUAUCUUUUCCGCGAGGAGGAUUGCCCACUCCCAAUUUAAGAUGGCUUGGGAUAUAUAACUGCGAAAAGCUUAAGUCACUGCCCCAAGGGAUGCACACCCUCCUUACAUCCCUUGAAUUAUUGACAAUAGAAGGUUGUCCAGAAAUUGAUUCAUUUCCAGAAGGGGGUUUGCCCACUAAUUUAUCUAGCCUUUACAUCGUGAAUUGCAACAAACUCUUGGCUUGUCGGAUGGAGUGGGGCUUACAAACGCUUCCCUUUCUUAGAACGUUGCAGAUUGGAGGAUAUGAGAAAGAAAGAUUUCCCGAGGAGCGAUUUCUGCCCUCCACUCUCACCUCCCUUGAAAUUAGGGGUUUUCCAAAUCUGAAAUCCCUGGACAAUAAGGGGCUUCAGCAUCUUACCUCUCUUGAAACUCUGGAGAUUUGGAAAUGUGGAAACCUCAAGUCCUUCCCAAAACAAGGGCUGCCCUCCUCCCUUUCACGUCUUUAUAUUGGAGAGUGUCCUCUGCUGAGGAAACGAUGCCAAAGGGAUAAAGGGAAAGAAUGGCCCAAGAUUUCUCACAUCCCCUGCAUAGCGUUCGACCAAUCGGAUAUGGAAAAUGGGGAGGUGAUCUUAUCAUGAGGCCCUUGCAUCGAAGCUCUUGCUCUCCUCUGCAUUUAUUGGCCCAGGAGUGUCUACUAUCUUGUUGUUGAUUGAGGAAGGUUGUCUACCAGAAUUGUUGGCUUCCUUGAUUUUCUACUUGGUUUUUGCAAGCACAUCAAAAUGUAGGGAGCAAAUGGAGAAAACAACCUUGUAAAGCUCAUGUAGACAAAUGAUUCCUAAUUCCAAGACAUCCACUUUAGAUUCUUCAAAUAUGGCAAAGGGUUCAACAAACGUAUUCAUAGCAACAAAGUGCCUAUUUCCAAUUAGCUUCCACAUUGGGCAUCAUUUAAGAAUUUGAAAGAAGUACUUGUACCUGCAUAAUAAUGAGAGGUUCAUUUGAAGGAGGCACCAUUGAAGCAUGUCGGGGUGCAUACUGUUGGGGAAGUAAAAGAUGGUUAAUCAGCCUUUCAGAAGUCAAAAUUUAAUUAGAGGUUCUAAACUUUUGGAACUCCAGUGCAAUGAAAAGGUUGGAGACUUUGAUCAAGUUAAUACACUUUCCCAUUCUUCUCUCUUGCAUAGGACUUUGGUAUUGCCUUUUGUAUGGGAAGAGCUUAAUCAGGCAUGCAGAGUGAUUCUCCUAUUGAUUAUCAGAUAGAAUGAAGGGCUCUGACAAAUGUACUAACCGCCGCAAAGUGCCCUGCUUUCGAUAGGACGAAGAUUUUGCCAAUAGAGAUAGCUUGUUGGAAGGUGAUGUGGAAUCAUAAAGACGUGGAAUCAUAUGGAAGAGAUAAGCAAAUGAUACACUUCCAAGUUCUCCUCUCUUGCAUGGGACUUAGGUACACCAUUCUGCAUGGAAAGAUGUGGGAAGAGUGAUUCUCUUCUUUGUUAUUAAUUAGUUCAUCGUUAAUUAGCUGGAAUCCAAGUGGAUGAUAUGAACAUCCAUACUGGCACCAUUAUGAUAUUUCUUGGAAAUUAUCUGCAGGUGGAACUUAGAUUGUAUUUUGCUAAUGAUUUGUAUAUCCCCUGCCUUCAGUCUUGGGAUAGCAGUAUUCAGAUAGAUUUCUGCCACCUUUAAUUAAGAUCUUCUGUUCCCAUAAAACCAUGUGUAAGCGAUCCUACUUUCUAUCACUGCAGAAGAGCCUAUCAUCAAAUGAAUGCUUUUUGUUGACUUCCAUUACAUGGUACCUUGAUCCAACACUGGACUCCAAAAGGAGAACAAUCAUGCAAACUGAAAUGUAUGUUGAUUCUAAUAACUUAAUUCUCAAUCCCUAACUUGAGGAAAUGAGAGGCUAUUAUAAAUGGAAAUUUUAUCAGGUUUCUCUAGCAGCACAUCCUGACAUGGUAAUCUUCACAGGAAAAAUUAAGAGAAAUGCUUUUAAGUUUAGAAAAGCGGAGUAAUGAUGUUUGAAGUUGAUAGAAAUGUUCGAGGAUUUCGUCUGUCUUUAAUGUAGGCUUCUGCCCAACUCAUUGGAUUUCUCAAAUACUUUCCUUCCUUCAUUUCCCGUUUUACUGGGGUUUUAUAUCUUGCUCCAUGCUGUCUAGGAACUCAAAAUUCCUCAGAUAUCCCUUUCAGUUGUUCAUAAGGUUGUAAAUGUGCCUCAUAUAUGGCAGCUUGUUCAUGGAAUACUUGGAUGUGCAAUUCAAUGAUUGGGGUUCUCAUAGUUGCUACAAAUUUGGCGCAAAAUAUCACACACACUCCAAUUAACUGGAUGACUUGACCAUCAGAACAAGCUAUUCAGUUUUAUUUUUUGUUUUUAAGCUCCCAUGAAAAGAUGGCAAGCAUUAGCCUUGGCCCAUGAAAGAAAGCCAUUCUCAUCAUAACUGAUUUAUAUGUCAACUAAAAUGGUAGCGACUUCACAUUUCUUCAACAUCUGCAGAUGUUGGAAACCUCCAUUGAUGGCAAGUUUCUUUCACUGUUUCCCAUGUACACAUAUGUUGUUCCCACAAACCAUGCAUCUUCUAUUCUCUCUUGGGAGAUGUUUUAUGAUGAGAUAUUGCUAUUUGUAUAUGAUAGGUAGGAUGUUCAGUGUUUUAGAGAUUCAACUUAUUGUGAGGUCAUUCCAAAUCUUAAAAGUUGUUGCAUUCUCAAUAGAAGUGAUCUGUUUUCAAACUUUCAAAGCAGAUAUGAUUGAGUUCAUUCCUCUUAUAUGCAGUUGAAAAUAUAUUCAUAUA